rnacentral:tRNA from 2 species
GCAACAAUAGCUCAGCUGGAUAGAGCAUCGGUCUUCUAAACCGAGGGUCGUGGGUUCGAACCCCACUUGUUGCA